rnacentral:lncRNA from 1 species
CAUAAACUAUUAAAAUUCAAUACAACGUAAAAAGAAUUGCAAUCUUCUUUUAAGAAACAAUAGAUGAUCAACAUUAACUUCGAAGUUCGAACCAAGACAGUCUUAUUACAAAUUGAAACAGUUUUACUAGAUGGCUCACCAAAUAAAACAAGAAUUAACCCAAAUGGCUGACCACCCAAUCGUUUAAAGUAAAAAUAACUAGUAAAAUGUAUAAUAUAUGCAUAAUUUAUGUAUUAUAUGUGUACAAUUAUGUAUAAUUAAUGUAUAAUCUAUUUGUGUAAAGAUUGAAGAUUCCAACAAGAAAUCUUAUUACAAACUUACAGGUAAAAUUAAAUCAAGCACAUUAUUUUCAUAUUUAAAUUUAAUAAAAUAUGCAGGAAUAUAGUGCUGUAGAAUUCCAAUAUAUAUAUGUGGUUGCCUUUAAUAAAUCGAAUGAUGGAUUUACUGUGGAGGAACGCGAAAGUAGAGUGGAAUAGGAUUGUGAGGUUCAGGAGUAGAGUCCCAAACAGAGAAUGCGCUGCUGGAGUUCAUCCAUUUCUCAGUUAUUUCAGGGUAAUGUCGAUCUAACACAUCUUUCAAGCUUUCUGUUGUAUUUACCCAUUCCAGUCCUUUCUUUGUAUAUGUCUCCUCCUUGUAAUUGCUGGUGAAAAAUCUGUCUGCCUCUAACCUCCUGCAAAUUUGCAAAUUAACUUUCUAUUAGUAAUUCUUCAAAAGAUUUGAGUUCUACUCACAUUAAACAAAAAAGAUAUUAUCAAUACAUUGAUGGCAGGUCAAUUUACAAUUUUUACUAUUCUAUUACUUAUCAUAAAAAUGGGUUUUACUUUUAUACACUAAUAGAUCACGUAAAAGAUUGUAUUCCUAGUAGAUAAAUAGGGCAGUCCGAUGCACUAAGCUCCGGUUAUCCGCGGGGUCCGGGAAAGGGCCGGACCACAAAGGUCUCUUGUACGCAGUCUUACCUGCAUUUUUGCACGAGACUGUUCUCACGGCUCGAACUCGAUCGUGACCUCCUGAUUAUAUGGCAACAACUUUACACGUGAAGGCUCAUCUUCUAAUAGAAACAUUAAUAGAUCACGUAAAAGAUUGUACUAGAUAAUGCUUAAAAAUUAGGAUCUGUUACGUGCUACACUAAAUUAAAAUACACGGGUAGUAAAAAUUGUUAUCAUACUAAUAUCAUUAUAUAGAAUUUAAAUAAAACUUAUUUGUUUUUUAUUUACCAACCUUGAUGCCAUGAUGAGGAAUAUGAAAAAGGCAGUCUCCGAAAUGGCAAAACCCUUAAUCUUUUUCUCGGCAGCCAUUCCAACCAUCAGAUCCAAUUCUUCUACAUCAUCACCAUAUACUUCACGAAGUGUAUUAAUCACUUCUUCAUCGUCCGUCAAAUCUUCCCAUUUGGAGAUGGGAAUUUGCAGCAUUCCUCUGCGAAAUUCAUUGUACCUAGCAACACUCCUUUCUCUGUCCCUAUAAACUGCCAUAUAUCCAAACAUAAUCAAUUAAAUGUGCGAAAAUGUAAUUUUGUGAUUUUAUUGUUUAUGGUAAGUUAAGUCUAAUAACCUUGGGCUGCAAGAUCAAUUAUUGAAAUUAAAAUUCUUUUUAUGCUAAUAUUAAAUGAACUUACUUUCAAGGGCUGCAAGAUCAACAUGAUCUGGCCUAUCAGUCCCAUCCACAUUUUGAGCAACAAGAUCCCUCAUCCACACUGGAUAGUUCCAAAGCUCAAGAGCUCCACAGGCUUGGUGACCCAUUGAUACCAUUUGCUUAGUAAAACCGAUUCUUGAUAAAUUCUCCUCUCCUUUUCCCCCAAUUAAAUCUUCCAUGGGAAUUCUACAAUUUCAAGGAAAUUACAUUUGUAAACACAAGUCAUUCUGUAGGGGUUCGAAAAAUAUUUGAGUGAAGUCGGAAAAAUAUGUACUAGAAAUUGAAGUUAAAAAGUCAUUUAAAAGCUAAGUUUUAUUUAUACAUGAAUUUUAGUUUAAAGAAUAAGGAUAAAGUCCUUUGGAAUAAAAAUCAUAAACUCCUAUUAAUUUCAUUUGAAAAACAAAAAAAAUUCAAUAUUUCAAUUACUAUUGGUCAUUAUAUUUAUACUUAUGAAGGGAAGCCUUGGCGUAACUGGAAAUGUUGUUGUUAUGUGACCAAGAGAUCUCGGGUUCAGCCAUGAAAAUAGCCUCUUACAUAAAUAAAUAAAACUGCGUAAGAUAGAUCCUUGUGGUUCGGCCUUUUCCCGAACCUCGCGCAUAGCAGGAGUUUAGUGCACCAGGCUGCCGCGUUAUACUUAUAAUCAAAUUUAUACUUGCAAAUAGCGAAUGUUAUUUUUGGCGAUAUAGUAUUUUACCAUAUAUAUAUAUAUAUAUAUAUUAAUGAUGCCUUACUCAUUAGUCAAAGGGAGAGAUUUGUUUGGUCCAGGUGUGGCAUCUACGUUCCUCAGCUGCAGCUUAUCAGGUAAAAGUUGAUGCAUUCGGUAAACACUCGUAAAUUCCUCAGUCAAGGAGUAGGGUACUCCAUGAUUUUCAGGUUUUUUCAUUCCUACAAACCCACCCAAAAUUGAACCUCCAAUGUGCCCAAAUGUGUCCUUAAACUUCUUCCCUAGUAAUCCAUACCUGUAAUGUAAUUAAGAUUAUUAGUCAGACAACAACUAAUAAAUAUAAAAGUACGACAAAAACUAGUACUAGUAUAUAUAAGGGAGGGAGCAUUAACCAAUUGGUACGCAUUGCUGCAAGCAUGGUAUCCGUUUUGAGAAGCUCAACAGUCCAAUCAAUUGUGUGAACUUUUGCAAUAACAGCAGAAGUGACCAGCCUUGCAUGACGAUACAAGUCUUCCUCCUCCAAUUCUGGAUAUUCUUUCUGCAACAUAUAUAACAAAUCAAGUUAAAGAAAGACGCAAAUGUAAUAAUAAUAAUAAUAUCGACGAUUUUAAGCAGUACUAGGAGGUAAUCUUUUUAAAUUUUAGGUUAUUGAUUUCACUAUUAUUACGGAUUAGGGUUGUAGGAAGGUGUGGAGGUCGAGCAUUAUGGUUGUAGGUUAAGGGGUAGUCGAGUGUUUUUCCUCUUUGUACCGGCUAGUCUGAUAGUGUUUUGUCUAGGACUGCUAGCGAUUUAUGUUGCGUUUCACACUUUUGCAUAGUAUUUGUGUUAUUGCUUUCCCAUUUAGCUGUUAUCUCUCACGUUGCCGAUAUUAUUUUUCUGGUUUCUGUUGUUGUUACGGAUCUAUUAUCUCUGAGCCGAGGGUCUCCCGGAAACAGCCUUUCUACCCCUCCGGGGUAGGGGUAAGGUCUGUGUACACUCUACCUUCCCCAGACCCCACUGGUGGGAUUCUAUUGGGUUGUUGUUGUAAUUUUACUAUUGUUGGAUUGUUACCUGUAAUUAUAUCAUAUUUUUAGUGUAUAAUUAAAAGUUAAAAUCUAAUAUGAUUAGUACCUUCAAGGCAUCACAAACAGAAUUGUGCUCUUGAACAAAGAGAGCCUGUAGUGCAGAAAGUCCAGCCCAAGUGUUACGAACAUCACCAGAUAUAAUUUUCCCAUUUUUGUCUAUUUCGAGUAGCCCAUCUGCUGAUAGUUUCAGCUUUCCAUCUUUAAAUGUUCUCACUUUCUUUAAAACUUCUGCAUUGCUUCCAUAAAUAGAACUUCCAUCCCUUCAUGUACAACUACAUGUUACUUGAUAAGCAUAAUAUUUUAUGUAAAAAUGUAACAUUUUAGUAUGUAAUCUUACCACCAGGGGGUACGCGUGUUCAAAUGACCAGUCUUGAUUUCAUAAAAGCCAGUAGGAAUUUCCUUGGUCUUGAAAAACUUAAAAGACUUUAGUGGGCAUUGACUUGCAACUUCUUUAGGUGCCUUAAGCUCAAUCUGUGCACAAAAUUUACAGUACCAAAAAAGUACAUCACUGAAUUAUUCCCUUCGAAUAAUAUAUUAGGUUUACAUCAUUUGCUCUUACGUCAUACGAUGGUAGUACUCAAAAGAUACUUGUAUGUAACUCUAUUUAAUGCUUAAUUGAUUAGUAUCUAGAAUAAAGGGAAAGUAAUAUGUUAUAAUCUAUUUAUUUAAAAGCACGAAGACCUUUAACAAAAUAUCGUUUGCUUUUUUUAUCUUUUAAAAAUAAAUUUUAUAAUGGACAAAAUAGUCAUUUUGAUUGUUUUCUUAUAUUUAGGAACAAUCAUUAAUUAUUUCCAUAAUAUUUAGGAAUUCGAAAUCGACUAAAUUAUAAUAGCAUUCUUAUAAUAUAAGACUUCUCUAUAACAACAUUCUUAUAUAAUAGUCAUUCACUGUAAAAGACGAGUUUUUCUCGGAACUGGAUAUUAUAUUAUGUUAUAAUAUAUGUCCUCUAUAACAACACUUCACUAUAGCAACCGAAAAAUUUCGGAACAAACGAAGCUGUUAUAGAGAGGUUUGACUGUAGUACAUUUUUUAAUAAGCUAAAUAGUGUCCAACUUUUUGCAAUAAAAAUAUAGAAAUACAAAAAGGGACCUAACUUAAACUAUUUAUAUGGAAUUUUAGUUUUUGUUGUUUUAGAAAGAUAAAAGUAGAAAGAGUUUAAGUUCUAUACACUGACGUUGUAAAGGAUAUUACAUAAUCAAAUUACUCAAAAGGUAAUUGUAUGUAACUUUAUUUAAUGCUUCAUUGAUUAAUUAAUUAGUACCUAGAAUAAAGGGUACGUAACAUGCUAUAAUUGACUAAAAAUACGUUAAUUAUGUAAAAGCUUAAUUAUAAUGUCAGUAUAUAUAACUUAAAUUAGUAAAAAUAAUUUUCCAAAUUUAAAAUAGGAAGUAUAUCGUUAUUAAUUAAAGUCUUUGUCUGAACUCUGACCUGCUUAGUAUCUUCCAAAUGAUCAAUCCAAUCAUGAAUCAUAAACUGAAUCCAAGAAGCAGCAAUCAUGUUAAAUUGUUUUCCUGUGUCCACAAAAUUUCUCCUCGCUAGCAGCUUCGUUGCUACCACCAUUGGGUCUGGCUUCUUUAACUGCAUUUCAUUUUUGAGCUACUUUCAUUAAUAGCACACUAUUAAAAAUAUAAUACAAAAGAUUAGCAUUAAUUAAUGAUUAACAAAUAUGGCAGUAAAAUAUUUAUACAUAUAACAGAUUUAAUUCAAUUCAAAUCAGCAAGAAUCAAGCUGUUUAAAAAAGUAGUCCUAAUAUUUAAUAUAUUUCCCUAUUUUUUUCUCUCCAUUCUAUACCAUGUUUUAUAUUUUUUUUAGAAACCAAUCCAUUCCAUAACAGAUUUUUCCUUUCCAUAUAUGGACCUUUUUAUAUAAUGUAAUAUAGCANNNNNNNNNNNNNNNNNNGAGUGAGAGAAAAGGAAAUGUAGUAAAAAGUGUAUUAAUGUAGAGGGAUCCUUUAGUUAAUGGAGUUAUCAAAAUGAAAGUGCUUAAAAAGUAAAAAAAGAAAAAAAAAAGUGCUAUUUUUGGAAUAAACAAAGUCUACUAUCAUUUAUGAUAAUAAUUUUUAAAAAGGGACCAAGCAUGUAAAAAUCUCUUCAUUAUUUUUUGAGAGGAAAAAAGGAAAAACAGCUUAGAGCCCAUUAUAUACUAAAGUAAUUCUCUUAAUUAUAUGUAUACCUCUACAAAUUAGGUUUGUUGAUUUUGCCUUAACAAAAAUAAAUGCCAAACUCUGAAUUAAUUACUAACUGUACGAAUUUGGUGAGCGUUUAGUUUAUUGAAUAAACACUACAACAUAGACAUCAUUAUGCUUUUAUAUGCAUUAACAAUGUAAAAUGUUUAUAUAAUUAUGUAUAUUGGAGCUAUUGGAGUUGGGGUCACCAAAAGUUCGGCCAAGCUAUAUAUUUAUUCGUAACUAGGCCAGGUCCACUAUUCUUGCAUGGGAUUUUUACAUACUUAUACACUAUUGAAAACUUUAUUACUUUCCUUACUCAAGUUUCAAUUUAAUUACCUCCUAUAUAUAAAUUGAUCAAUUAUAUACAUUUUAGGAAUUAAAUAAGUAUCACUUUAUAUUAGGAAUCAAUUAUUUAUCAUCCUUAUUCUCUCUCCCUCAUGCGCUCUCUCUCUCUACGUCUCUCUUUAUCUCUCAAUCCCUAAUUUCAAUAAUGUAGAACAAAAGAAAAAGAGAGCAGCAAUUCCAUCAUUGACAGCCACUAAAAAGCUGUGAAGCUUUGAAUUCGAAUUUGGAUUUUCAAAAAAUAUUAUUUGUUUCAAUUGGGUGUUAUUGCAAACAAUUAGAAAUUCUCUCUACGUCUCUCUCUAUCUCUCAAUCCCUAAUUCCAGUAAUGUAAAACAAAGGAAAAGAGAGCAGCAAUUCCACAAUUGAUAAUCAUUAAAAAGUUUUGAAGCUUUGAAUUCGAAUUGGGUUUUUAAAAAAUAUUAUUUGUUUGGAUUGGGUGUUGUUGCAAACAAUUGAGAAUAUGGUUUGGAGUUUAUAUCUCAAUUUUGAGGGUGCUUUGGUGAAGAUUAGACUUGAUUUUGGCUGAAUUUCAGAUUGGAACUCGAAGAAGAAAAAGACAUGGCAUACAUUAUACUUACGAAAUUGUAGUAAAAUUGUAUUAUAUUGUUUAUAUAUAUUUUUUUAAUUUAAAUAUUGUAUGAAAGUUGAACAAUAUUGUAUAAAAAUUGUAGUUAAGUUGUAUGUUAUUGUAGUUGUAUAUAACUGGGUAGAAAUAAUAUAUGAAAAUUGUAGAUAAGUUGUAUAAUAUAUAAUUAGUUGUAUAUAUAUGUGGAUUGUAUAUAUUUUGUAACUAAAACGUGUUUAAGUCGGAUAAAUAUCAAAACAUAAAUAUUUUUCGUAAUAAGGUUUCAAAUAAUGUAUAGGUACAUAAAAAGCUAUUCUUUCAUUCUAUAGUAUACUGGUUAAUAGCCCAAGUAGUUAAGUGUUUCUUUUUCUUUUCCAGUUUUGCCCAUGUAUAGAUAGUCGACUGAAUAUUGUAUUGGUCCAUUGGACUAGAAGAUUCAUUCGAGAAAAAAAAGAAGAAGAUGGGUUUUCUCUCCUGAAGCUUUUCUCUUUAGUUCAUAUGAAACCCUAGUAAUAUUCUUCAUCAAUUCUUCGUAAAUUCUCAACGUUAUCAUUAUUAAGUUAUUUAUAAGAUAAUUUAUGAGCUAGAAAAGGGGAGCAAACCCAAAAAGAGCUGUCUUAUUCAACCUAGCUUGUCGUCUGCUAGUUUAACGUAAACCUGUACUCUGUACUCCUUCCGUCUCAUAUCAUCGAUCAUGAUUCUCUUGUACACGUUGUUUAAGAAAAAUUAAUUAGGAUGAGAUUUUGAUUACUUUACUCUUAAUUCAUGUCGUAAUAUUUAAUCUUUCUUCAUUAAUAUUUGAAUAAAGUUAGGUGUAUGUAUAAGUCUUUAAGAAUAAUUAUUACUAAGGGUAAAAAAAGAAAAAGAUAAUCAAUUUUGUCUUGAACUUCUAAAAUGACAAAUAAUUUGAGACAAGUAUUUUUAAUAAUAACGAUUGAUAAUAUAAGUUGGAGGAAGUACUAGUUACUAGCAUCCUAGUGCUCUGGUAGGUUCUUCGCCCCCCCCCCCCCUUUUUUUUUUUUUUUCCGUCUUCAUCUUAGCUUGUGAGUGCACGGCAAAGGAAGUAGAAUUACCAAUAUCUAGAGUCCCAUACCACCAUAACAGCUAGUGAACUAGAAAUGAUCAUUAGCAAGGAAUUGAAAGAGUAACUUCGUCUCCAUACCGUUGCUAUAAUUAAUGCUAUCAAUAUUUACUGCUAUAUAGCCUUUAAGUUAUAAACACUACUAUUGUUUAAAUUAUUUAUAUAAUCAAGCAUGAUACUAUAACCUGGAAAAUAGCGUGUAAUAAAAAACUGCAAUAACAUGUUAUCGAUAUUAGAUUGAUAAUGCAAAGUUCAUCCACCGUAAUGUAUAUAACUUAAACUCAUACAUUAUAUGUUAAUUAUGUCACCUAUAAAAGAUUACUAAACCUAUACAUUCCCCUUCACUGUAGCAGUGGCGGCGUAACGUAUAUAACUUAAACUCAUACAUUAUAUGUUAAUUAUGUCACCUAUAAAAGAUUACUAAACCUAUACAUUCCCCCUCACUGUAGCAGUGGCGGAUGUACAUGGACAUUUAUGGGUGCUUGAGCAUUCAUUAUGUUUAACCAGAUUUAAUAAAUUUACAUAGACAAUUAUAAAAAUAGUUAGAUAAAUAUAGAGUUAGCACCCACAACUAAAUUCCUUUUUUCUCUUCUUUCGAAUUUUUUAUCGGCGAGUACCGAUCACUUUAAAAUUCUGAAUCCGCCACUACACCAUACACCAUAGAGGCAAUUAAUUGCAUAUAAGCAUGGUUUAACUAAUAAUAAAGUCAGUAGCUAUACAAGUAAUCUGCUUAUUUGACUAGCUUAAUUCAGCAAUGGGUGGGUGGGGGCUUAAACCUACCAACUUAGCUUGUGUUGCUCUAAUUAGUAGUAUAGCCUAAGAUUACGAGAUAUUAUGAGCACUGUUGUUUCUAUUGAGCAACUACUGGUCCCCUAAGAAUGGUUUAGGACCAUGCAUGAUGCAAGACAGUGUACGCAAUUAUAAAUUCAAGAGACAAACGUUGUACGUUGCCCACUGUACAUUCAUUUUUUUUUGUCGGGUACAGAAAAUUAUAAUUAGUACUAUUUAGGUAGGUAAAAGUUAUUUUUUUGCCUACGUACUAUGUAUUCAUUUCUCUUGACUUAGUUCGAAUAUUUACUUCUUCUUUUUUAAAAUUUGGAAUCCAGUUUUUUAAUUUUUAACUAUAGAUAUUUUCUCUUGCCAUCUCAAAAUUUAGUCGCUAGCUAAAAUAGUGAUUUAAAAAAUGCAAGUGUUUACUUUCACCGUUACAGUAAACUUCAUCUUCUUAAUUUGUAUAUUUAUUUUUUCCAGUAUCAUGAUGUAUUCUUUCAUUUCUUUUUUUCAUCUAACUUGUUGGAAUAUAUACAUAUAUGAUGUAUUUAUAUUUAGAAAGUAAAUACAUAUAAUAAUCAUACAGAUCUAUUAGUAAGUUUGAACAAAGAAAAGAAGAUUCGAUUAACAAAAUAACAAAACUAAGAACGGAAAAAAUUAAAGUUGCUUUCUAAUAAAAUAAUUGUAUAAAUGACAAUCAUAACUCAAAAUCUGCCAACGAAAUUAAAAUAAAAGAGAGGGCAAACCAAAUUAUAGGUAAAACUCUUAACAUUAAAAAAAAAUGGUGUCGGAAAAGAAAUUAAAGAACAAGUCAAGUUAACCAAUAGUGUGAAAAGGAAAAACUCAAAAAAAUGAUAUAAAUGAAUUUUAUAGAUCGAAUAGGAGGUGGAUAAUUUAGAAGUCAAAUACACAUUGCAUUUCUAAGAUUAUAAUUAUUGGAUAAUUGCUAAAUUUUAAGACAUGAGGGAAAUUAAAGUGGGAAACCAUAUCUAUAAUAACCUCAAAAAAUAAAAAGGGCAAGAGCCUAACUAAUAUACCUGGUUAUGCUGAUGAACAGGUAGCAUAUUCCUCCCAAAAAAUGAAAGUUCACUGCCUGCACCUUCAUUAAAGGGGUCGUUGUAUUUACCGUCGGCAGUUCGAUAAGGGUGAUCGGCCGGAUUUGAUCUGACGCCGACCGGUGUUUUGCCGACGUUGAUCAAAUUGUAUUCCUGAUGCAGAUGCCGCCGCGCUCCAAGAUAAAGCAGCCCCAAGAACACUGGUAGCCGGUGCCAAAGAUUCAGCUUAUCCACGAAAUGAACAAUCUGCAUGCAUGUCACAAUAAUUAAAACGUACAUUACCCAAAAUAUUUUAAAAAAAAAUAAUGAAGCAGAGGAAGAGGUGUGGCAUGCAAGAAGAACAAACUAAAAUACAAUUCCAAACUAGAGGUAAGAGAUUAUUUUAGUAUUAAGUUUGUACUUUAACGUGUAAAGUAUAACAAAAAUUAGAGGAUAGUCCUUCUUUUUUCAACUUUGAUCUUUGUACUUUUUUAAAAAAUAAUAAUACUAGCAAAAAGGACCAAAAGCAGCGCAAAUUUAUCGUAGGAGGCAUUCUUCCCAUUAGUUCAAAAGGUAAAAUCUAGAUUUUUCUGAUGAAGUAAAACAUUACGGCAAUCAAGAAUUAGGGCAGAAUAAUUAACUAAGUGAAAAUUUACCAGAAAAAAAAGCUUGUCCAAGAGAGUCAUUCUCUCAAAGAUAUCAUGGAAAUCUUUGUGGAUGAAACCACGAAGAGGGGAGAGCAAAAGAUUCUUAAGGGAUGCCAUAACCAAAGACAUUGUUUUUUCUAGUUUAUAAUACGAGAAAUAUCACUUUGGAGUAAAUAAGGAGGCAGCAUCCUUUCUAUUUAUAGAAAUAAGUAACAGAAGAAUAAGGCAAGUUCCUAGCAAAAAUAUAACAGACCAUGUUGUAUGCAUGCCUUUGACAAUUCUACAAUUGUAGCCAAACGGAUCAGUUCCACUUGAAAUUUGAGAGGUAGGAAUUAAUACCGUACACGGGAAAAGGACCGCGAAGAGAAAAAUAUCAGACGGAAUAAAAAGAAAAGGUUGAAAAUUAUUUUCAUGUGACGAUAUAUACACUCCCCCUCUGCUCCUCGGGGUAGGGGUAAGAUCUGCGUACAUAUUACCCCCAGACCUCACUUGUGAGAUUAUACUGGGCCGUUAUUAUUGUUGUUGAUAUAUACACUCCCUCCAUUCAAUUUUUGUAUACAGUUUCCUUAUUAGAAAGAAUUACAUAUUUUUAUGUUUGAAAAUAAUUUAAUUUUAAAAUUUAUUUUACCCUUAAUGAGAAACUUUUAGAGACACAUAAAUGUUAUCGUCUUACCCUUUUAAUUUUUUAAGACCAUAAGUUUUAAAACUGUUAAAUAUUUUUUUUUUCUCUUAAUUAAACUCCAUAGUGACUAAAGGUACGUAUAGUUUACCAACUAGUACAAAUGACAACUUCAAUUACGCAUAAAAAAUAAGUACAUUAAACGUGUUGUUUCUUUACGAUGUAGUGUAAUCGAAACUCACGUUGUCUUGCUACAAAAAUAAUUCGCAAUAUACAAUUUAGAUAGUUCUUUUAGUUUUUUUUUCACUUACAAGUUACAGGAUCUAAUCCAACACCUAUAGUUAGCGUAUAUUAUUCAUCCCACCAGAAGCGGACCGACGUAAUGGCUUGAGGGGUCACAUGAACCUGUUAGCCUCGACAAAAAUACAAUAUAUAUGUGUUAUAUAUAUAUAUAUAUAUAUGGAACCCCUUAAAUAUUUAAGGUGUGCCCCUAGACACAAAAAGCGGAUGGAAAAGUGGUUGCAUUUGGCAUUUAAGUUUGCAUCCUUUGCUGGAUGGACGUGGGUUCGAACGUUUCUUCAGCCUUUUAUCCUUUUUGUUUUGGUUCUCGGAAUACAACAGUUUUUAUACUUAAUACUUAGCAACUUGCUUUAUUUUCAACUUUUAUCUUCUUUUUGGAAUUCAACUAUAGCUUGGUACUAAUACAUAAUAGUCAACGUAAUUAGUUUUAUUUUUUUAAAAUACCUACCUUAAAAUUAAAAGCCUCAAAUUACAACUUAUCGCUUCACAAAUAAAAAAAAAAUACAAAUCUUUCUACCACAACCUUCUUCAACCAUGACUCCGACUCGGCAACGGCAACUACGAGUUUGAAACUCUUCUUCAGUUCUUUGACUAUUAACAUAUCCAUAAUCUUGAUUUCUUUAGUAAAUUUUGAUAAUUUAAAGUUUGAACGACCCUUUUGAUUACUCGCCCUUUUUUUAUUAUUAAAAUACUAGAAAUUUAAAGUGUGAAACAUGAUUAAUCAAACACCUUCCCUUUCCAUAGCAUCCAUUUCGCGAAAAAAUCUCUUUUUGUUCAGUGCUUCCUUUUUCUUUAGAACUUCUUUUUGUUUAUACUUGAAUGAUAAGUCAUCACAAUAUUAAGUUUUCAAAGAGUUGUACGCUGAAUUUUAUCGCUAAUGAUUAGCAUACAAUGAUGUCUCCAUCACGCUCAAAUCUUGGGUCCGGCUCUGCAUCCCACCAUAACCCUUUGAUGGUAAGUUUGAGAUGAUUGGUUGCAUAUAUAUGUGACUGAAAGCUUUUGUACAAAUAAUCGCAUAGUUGAGGACUUAAUUAGCUAAAGUCUAAGUGGACGUUUGGAAAUCAGAAUUGUGAAUUCCAAUAAAAGCGAAAAAAAAUUCAAGUUAAAAAUGGUAUUUAGAUAUUGGAGUUGUGUUUGGACAUGAAUACAAAUUAGAAUUGUUUUUAAAUUUUUGUGAGCGGUUUGGAAUGAAAAUUGUGAAAAUAACUUUUUUGAGUUUUACGAAUUCCGAAAAAUUCCGGAAUUCAACUUUAAGUUGGAUUUGAAAUUUUCAUGGCCAAAUACUAAUUUCGAAAAAAGUGAAAGAAAAAAAAAACGAAGAAAAAGUUACAUUUUUUUAUGGGCAAACGGGGCUAAAACCAUUUUUGCAUUAAUAUUUUAAUGUGAGCUGAUCCGCUUUUUCAUUUAAAAUCGGACACUGUCAAUUGUUUAUGACGAUUGAAAGUACGACGUAGACGAAAAAAUUAGACUUCAUAUACUCCCAGUUUAAAAUUGUUUAACUUGGAGAGAAGAAAGAACAAUAAAAUGUAGAAAUGAUAUCAUGUCGUCUGAAUCUCUGUCACCACCCAAUCUAGACUUUUCCAUGAAGAAGUUUUAACUAGGGGUAUUCACGUUUUGACGGAAAAUCGAUCCAAACCGAAAAUCGAACCAAAUCGAUAUUUUUUUUGAUUUGAAUUGAUUUUGGUUUUAAAUUUUAAAACCUAAUAAUAUUUGGUUUGGUAUUGGUUCUAUUUUAAAAAAACCAAAAAAUAAAUCGAACCAAACCGACUAAUUAUAUACAAAAUUUAAUAAUUAUGUAUAUACAAUAUAAUAUCUUUUUGUAAAUAAUUUUAAAUAUUUUAUGCAUUUUAAUUGUUAUUUUGAAUUUUGGUUUAUCCUUUUAUAUCUUAAAAGAUUGCCUAAACCCAAAACAAUAGGACUCGACCAAUUUUCUUUUCAUUAAGAGACUCUAAUUCUCUAACCCUCCGCACAUACUUUUGCCUAACAGAAUAGUUAAAUAAAAAAAAACCACCACAAGAGUAAAGAAAAUAAAUUCAAAUUGCAAGACAACAAUGGCUAAAGCUUGAGAAAGCAAACUUUUAGUUUGAUUUUUGUUCAUUCUUUUCAUAUAAAUAGGUAAAUAAACUUUUAGUUCUGAAAGAAAUAUAUAUAUAUAUAUAAAAAUAUAAAUUUAGCAAAUUAUUUUCAGAUUGUUGUCUAGCGUUGUUUUACUAUUAUCGACUUAUCAUUAGCUUACUAAGAAUCGAAAAACCAAACCAAUAACAAUCAAACCGAUGGUUUGUAUUUAAUUUGGUUUUGUUUUAAAAUUUUAAAAACCGAUUAAAUUGGUUUGGUUUUGGUUUUAAUCAAAAACCGACCAAACCGAACCGUGAACACCCCUAGUUUUAACUACGCAAUUAGGGGUGUACAAGGGAAACCGACAAACUGCACCAUACCGAUAAUCCGAAUCAAACCGAGAAAAAAACCCGACUAUGGUUUGGUUUGGUGUUGUAAAAAAAAACCCGACCAUAAUUGGUUUGGUUUGGUUUUAACUAAAGAAAGUCAAACCGAAACUAAACCAACCCGACAUUAUAUAUAUAGAAAUUAUAUAUAUAUUUAAUAUAUAAAUAUAUUUAUUGUGAUGUAAUUUAUAAAUAUUUCUUAAAAAUUUUCAUAAUUUUAUCUUUUAAGAUAUUAUUUUAAGGUUGGACUUAGGAACUUUUGACUGUUCCAAUAAGUUUUAUAACCAUUAUUAUUAGUAAAUUAAAUAAUGCUAACAAAAGCCCAAACCAAAAUCAAAUCAAUACUAAUGCUAACAAAAGACAUGCAAUUCAAUAGUCAAUACUACGAACGGGAAUGUAUCGAAUAUCUAUUUUUUGUUUUACAAUAAUUUAGAUAAAAAUGCAUAACCUAUUUUUAUAUUUUCUUUAGCGUUUAGUCAUGUAAUUAAUACGCCAUUAUUAGUCUACUUACUUUAGCAUGACUUAGUACUUUUAGAUUAUGUUUAUUUUUAUUAUAAUUUUUUAAUUAGCAAUAUUUAUAUUACAUAAUUUUAUUGUCUUUAUUCUUGAAUAUUUUAGGAUAAUGCCAUGACAUAUCUCAUAUUUUGUAUUNNNNNNNNNNNNNNNNNNNNNNNNNAUAAUGCCAUGACACAUCUCAUAUUUUGUAUUAUUUUCUUGGAAAAUACUUUAUAUAGUUGUAUCUUACUAGGAUUAAAGAAAUAUUUUGAGCACAAGUUAUAUGUUUUGUCUUACGAAGAUUUUACCGGAAAAAAAUUCGAAAAAUCCGAAAACCCGAGAAAACCCGAGAAAAAUCGAGAUUAAAAAAUCCGAGUUUUAUUGGUUUGGUUUGGUCUUUAGAUUUAAUAACCCGACACAAUUGGUUUGGUUGGAUAAUCGUAAAAUCCGAACCAACCCGACCUAUGUACACUCCUAUACGUAAUGUAAUAACAGAGUACAGAAUUUGGUUCUUGGUAUGAAACAUUUGAUUUCUGAUAUUAAAUUCUGCAAUACUAUUUUGUACCGGAUAAAAUGUGAAAGAAUGAAUACUUAAAUAAAAAUAUCUAAAGAAAAGUUGCAUUUGAAUUAAUUAAAUAGUAUUGAAGAGAGACGUAACACGUGACUAUCACGUGAGUCAGUGGGUUAGUUAGGAAAUUAGUUAUAACUAAUUAUGGGAUUGGUUGUUAGUGAAUUAGCAGAAGUAGUAAGACUGAUUAGGCUAGCUGUUAGUCGUAGUGUAUAUACAUUAGACACAUAUCACUGUAUUUAGUUAGAUUAGAGAGAAUACUUUUUCAGCUCAUUUGCUCUCCAAUGGAGCCUUUGUUCUAGAACCUUCUGGUUCAUUUCUCUUCUCUCUUUUCAAUCGAGCUAAUAUUUGAUCUUCAUCAUGGUAUCAGAGCACGGUAGCUAGAUACAUGCUCGUUGUGAUCGAUCUCCUCCGUUUUUUUGUAGAGAUGCUUUGUUGCUGAUUGUUCGAGCUUUUCUUGAUCGAUUAACCUAGGUUUUGUUUUUCUUUUUGAUUUGCAACUAGUGAGUCUGUAAGUCAUUGAAGCGAAGAGUUAAUUCAAUUGAAUAUGUCAACUAUGGCAAUUGGAGAAGAAACUUCAUGUGGAACAAGCACAGGAAUGAUCGUAGAUCAUUACCAUCCUUUGUAUCCACAGCCUUGCGACUCCAGGCAGUUCCUUGAUUUCUAUUCAACUUUAGGAAAGUUUUCCCAGGCUGUAGACAUAGAAGAUAGAACAUCAUUAUUCACCAACAAAAGAAUGAACUCAGGAAAUAACUAAACUAUAAGCCCAUAAGAGGGAAUCUGUUCUGUGAUUACUGCAACUAUAAAGGGCACACAAGAGAUACCUGCUUCAAACUACAUGGAUACCCAGAUGACUUCAAAAUGAGGAAGAAAGCAACAUGCUUUCCUCAAGCUACAGGUUUUCCUCAAAGACCUAUGGCUAAUGCAACUACACAAGAGGGACAACAGUCAAUGACAAAGCAAAUGGCCAAUGUAGCUUCACAAGUAGGACAACAGAUGAUGAACACACCUAUUGCCAAUCUAGCACAAAGAAUGUCAAUCAUGUUCACUCAGAAGCAAUACGAUUAGAUCUUAAAGUUGAUCGAUAAGGACACAGGUAAAAACACAAAAGACUCUGCAGGUACAACAAAGACUUUUGUCACAAAUGAAUCAGUUAAAAAUGAGAAUUGGAUAGUAGACUCUGGUGCAACCAAUCAUAUGGUUCACACUAGAGAGCUACUUGACAAGAUAAACACAGGUAGUUUAGGCAAUGCACCAAAGAUAUACUUACUUGAUGGGACCUCACUUGAUGUUGAAUGUACAAGAGAGAGUAUAAUUGGUGAAAAUAUUGUUGUUAUGUUCUGUAUAUUCCAAACUUUAAAUUUAACAUGCUAUCUGUGUCCAAGCUUACAAGGGACUUAAGAUGUUUUAUAUCCUUUUAUCCUGAUUUUUGAAUAAUGCAUGAAUUUCACAUUAGGAAGGUGAAGGGGGUUGGUAAGGAGCUGGAGGGUUUGUACAACUUGCAGCAUCAGAAAUUUGAAGCCAGGGCUGCAGUUGUACACCUUCAGGAUCAUUCCAUACAAGAGAAGGAUUUGAAAGUAUGGCAUGGAAGGCUUGGGCAUGCUCGAGAUAGAGUGGUAAAAUAGAUUCCAAACAUGAAGUUCAAAGCUAGUAGUGAUGGAAUAAAGGAAUGCAUAAUCUGUCUUUUGGCUAGACAAGGCAGAUUGCCUUUUCCAAAGAGUAUAAACAGAUCAAGUAAACCUUUUUAGUUGAUUUAUGUAGAUGUAUGGGGUCCAUAUAGAGUACAAACUCAUACUGGAGAUAGAUUUUUCCUUCUGUAGUUGUUGACUAUAGUAGAAUGAUAUGGAUUUACUUGUUGAGGCUUAAGAGUCAUGCGGUUGUAUGUUUGAGAUAAUUUCUAGCCUUAAUAAAAACUCAAUUUGAUGUGACUGUGAAAAUUUUGAGGAGUGAUAAUGGAUCUGAAUUUUUUAAUUCUGAAUGCAAUGGUUUGUUUCAUUCUUAUGGAAUGAUCCACCAAAGUUCUUGCGUCUACACCCCACAGCAAAAUAGAGUAUUGAAAAGAAAGCAAAGGCACAUAUUGGAAGUGGCUAGGGCCAUUAGAUUGCAAGGCUUUUUGCCUCUCAAACUUUGGGGGGAAUAUGUACAGGCAGUUGUUUAUAUGAUAAAUAGACUGCCUCUAUCAGGAAAGUCAUCCUUUGAGGUGUUGUAUGGGAGAACACCAUCUCUGCAGUAUAUGAGAAUCAUAGGGUGUUUUUGUUUUUCUAAGAUAGUAGGAGAAGGAGACAAGUUUGCAACUAGAUCAAUUGGAGCUGUGUUGAUGGAAUACUCUUCAUCCUAAAAGGGUUACAGGCUGUAUAAUAUUUUAACUAACUCUUUCUUUGUCAGCGGGGAUGUCAAGUUUAUGGAACAUAUCUUCCCAUUACAAUUACUUAAGGAAGAAAAUUUACAGCUCUUUCCUAAUGGUGUGCUAGACUCUCCAGCCAUUACGGAUGCAAUGCCACAUCACAGUGCAGAUAUCACAGAACCAGCAGGAUCACCAGAUGAUGACACACCCUUUUCAGCAACACCACCUAUUGUAGAUAACAAUGCUGCUGAUACAAAACGUCAUCACCAUAUUCCCUGCCCCUUGAAGACACACAAACUCAGCAACUACUUCCUUCCGAACAAGACACAUUUGUUCCUGUAGAAAAUCAGCUCAGAAAAUCAGCUAGGACUUCUAAGGAACCUGUGUGGAUGCAUAAUUAUGUCUACAAACAACAUCAGCUAGCAAAUAGCUUUGCAAGUAUCCAAUGUAAAACUAUUUAAGCCAUGUAGGAGUAUCAACUAAAUACCAGUCUUAUUUGUCCAACAUUACCAGCGUUAAGGAGCCUGUGAACUAUGAGGAAGCUGCAUCAGACCCCAAAUGGAUUGAUGCUAUGACUCAAGAGCUGAAUGCACUUAAGGAAAAUGGGACUUGGACCUUGGUAGACUUACCAACAGGGAAGACUCCUAUUGGAUGUAAAUGGAUGUUCAAGAUAAAGUAUAAGGCCAAUGGGGAGAUUGAAAGAUACAAGGCACGGCUAGUAGCCAAAGGAUACAAUCAAAUAGAAGGGCUAGAUUACCAAGGAACAUUCUCUCCUGUAGUCAAGAUGGUGACAAUAAGAGUGGUUCUAGCUUUGGCAGCAGCAAACAAUUGAAAUCUACAUCAAAUGGAUGUUUAUAAUGCAUUUCUACAAGAAGACCUCAUUAAAGAGGUCUAUAUAUGUUUACCUCAGGGAUUUCCUAGUCAGGUGGAGAAAGUAUGCAGGCUGCAUAAAUUUCUGUAUGGUCUAAUACAAACUUCAAGACAAUAGAACCUAAAAUUAACUGAGACACUACUCAAUUCAGGUUUUGUGCAGAGUCACUUUGAUUACUCUUUGUUCACAAAGAAGCAAGGGACAAAACUAGUAAUCAUCUUAGUGUAUGUAGAUGAUCUUCUCAUAACUGAAAAUGAUGAAGGAGAGAUCUCUGAAGGUAAAAGCCAUACUACAGAGUAAUUUCAAAAUCAAAAACUUGUGGGAAUUAAAGUUCUUCCUUGGGAUUUAGAUAGCAAGGUCCAAAGAAGGAAUACUGAUGAAUCAAAGGAAGUUUGUAAUGGAGUUAAUUGCUGAACUUGGAUUAGCAUGGUCAAAACCAGUGGCCACACCAAUGGAAUACAACCAGAGAUUCACCACUGUGGAGUAUGAUCAUCAUAUGAACUAUAAAGAAGAUGAGAAACUGGCAGACUCAGGACCAUAUCAGAGAUUAGUUGGGAAACUAUUGUAUCUUACCAUGACUAGACCAGAUAUAUAUGCUAUGCAGUUCAUGUACUAAGUUAGUUCACACUGUCCAAAGAAAUCACACAUGGAAGCUGCAGUCAGGGUUGUUAGAUAUAUUAAAGGUGCUCUACGACUGUGGUUGCUAAUGAGCUAUAAAUAGUCCACAAAGCUCACAACCUUUUGUGAUGCUGAUUGGGCAUCAUGCCCAGUUUUUAGGAGAUCAGUAACAUGAUAUGUAAUGAAAUUGGGAGAUUCAUUACUGUUAUGGAAAUCGAAAGAAACAAUGCACAAUCACGAGAAGCUCGACAGAGGAAGAAUACAUGAGCAUGGCAGCAGGAGUUGCAGAAAUCUUAUGGUUGACAGGACUUUGUAAAAAAUUGGGUGCAAAAGUUGAACUGCCAGUGGAGCUGCACGGUGGCGACAAAGCAGCAAUUCAAAUUGUUGCAAAUCCCAUAUUUCAUGAGCGUACAAAGGAUAGACCUACACUUCAUCAGAGAAAGGAUUCAACAAGGGAUAGUCAGAACCAAAUAUGUGAUGUCUAAGGAUCAAGAAGCAGAUCUGUUCACAAAGGCACUGGGGAGAUCACAACACGAGUACUUGAUGAGCAAGCUAGGAGUGCUCAAUCUAUUUGUACCACCUAGCUUGAGGGGGAGUAUUGAAGAGAGAAGCAGCACGUGACUAUCACGUGAGUCAGUGAGUUAGUUAAUAAAUUAGUUAGGAUGUUAAUUAUAACUAAUUAUGGGAUUGGUUGUUAGUGAAGUAGCAGAAGUAUUAAGAUUGAUUAUGCUAGCUCUUAGUCGUAGUGUAUAUAUAUUAGACACGUGUCAUUGUAUUCAGUUAGCAGAUUAGAGAGAAUAAUUUUUCAGCUCAUUUGCUCUCCAAUGGAGCCUUUGUUCCAGAAUCUUCUAGUUCAUUUUUCUUCUCUCUUCUCAAUCGAGCUAAUUCUAGUUCAUUUUUCAGCUCAUUUGCUCUCCAAUUUUUCAGCUCAUCAAAUAGGUCUUAACCGCAUCACAAUGCAUAUAUAUAUAUAUAUAUAUCAUGAAAUUCAUAACAAAUGACAGUAUAACAAUUAUCUGUUUUUUUUUACAGAUAAAUCACACUGUUUUUUUUUUACAGAUAAAUCACACUUAUUUAUUAGGUCUGAGCCCACGUACAUACCCGUCACUUUCGCUUUCAUGCAGAAAUAGCAGUUGAUUCAGAAAAAAUUUAAAUGACUAUUGUUACGUGCUCAGACUAUUCUUAAGGGGUGCGUUUUAAAAUAUGCAGUAGUACUUUUCAUUUCCAUUUUCUGAUCAAGUUUUUCAACAUAAGCCAUCUCCACUUAUUUUAAAGUUGAAUUGCCUAACACGAUACAUAAAAGUAAUAAAACAAUGAAUAAUUUGAUCUCAUAACAAUUUAACCAAGUAGAAAAACUUGCUCCAAUCUAAUUGUUUUUUAAGAAAAAACAUUUUCCUACUCUAAUAAAAAUCUACAGUAUAAAUUUCAAUUUUCACUAUUACAACUAACAUCGAUCGACUUUGCAAAUAUAAACAGAUAAGUUGAAGAAGACAGAUAGCGAGUUCCAGAAGAGAGUCCAUACUUGGGUUGUUAAAUAAGAAAAACAAAAGACAAAAAUAUAUAAAAACUUAAAUGCCAAAAUACCGUCAAUAUCUUUAUCCUACUUUGCAGCCAAGCUUUUAUUUCUUUAAAAACGUCUAAUCAUUCAUGAAUUAUAUUCUUUUAAUUUACAUAUGGAUAUAUACCUGCUCAAUUUAGACUUUUCUAAGAUAACUAAACAAAGCCAACGAAUACUUUGGCCUGAUAGUAAUGUCAUCAAGAGAUUUGUGUAGCUAAUUAUUUUGUUAGUGUUCUCAUAUUAACGUAUGUUUAAAGGUAUUGAUUAUAUUGGUUUAAAAAAGACAGAAAAAUAAUCUCGAUAGGUUGCUAAAACGACUGUAAUGAAAUAUGAUAGAAACACAAUCACAGAGAAAAUAUCAGUCGUCUAGACUAGUAUCAUUGGAGCAAAUGCCAAUGGAUAUAAUUUUUUCAAGGUAUCCAGAUCAACUAGAAUAUAUUCUAUUUUAUAGAAUACAAUGACUUUGGUCAAUAUUUUGAAAUAUUAAUAUUCUAAAAUUCGAGGCCAACAAGUAGUCAUCAAUUUCCCUUCUUCACAAAUUUUUUCAUUCAAAGUCGUGUACGACGCCAUUUGGAUGGUGGCUCAAUAUGAAUUUUGCGCUUACAACUUUAAUUUACACGGAUGAAUUUUGAACUUUCGUGUUAUCAAACUCAUCCAUUGAAAAGUUAAUAUACUAGUUGUAAUUAUUUUAUUUUUCUUGAAGGAAAAAAAAUACCUUGGCACAUUGCACCAAUCGUCAAUUUUGAGGAUUAGUAUUUGACCAAGAAAAUUAUUUGAAAUGCAUAGGAAUCCAAAAGAAUGCCAACUGUAUAUUAAAAUGUCAAUAAUUCCACUAAACAAAAAAACAAAAAACAAAAAACAAAAGAGGGUCUAUUUGUGUUGUGGUGGAUAAGCUUCCUGACAUAUAACAUGUGUUUUUUUUAAUAUUAAAGAAACUCGUUUUACGUUUUUAUAAUUUGACAACAAGAGUACAUAAAUAGGGAAUGCAUUUGUUUGUAGAGAUUUCUUAAAAUUUUAAUGUUUUGACUUUUGAUAUGUAUAUAUUAGGGCAAAAAUCACUUUUACCCCACGAGCGAAACUAUUUACAUCGGGUAGUUGCGAAAGUAUAUAAAAUUUGUAUAUAUUUUGUAUAUAACAUACAAAAAUAUAUAUAUAUAUACAAAAAAAUAUACAAUUGUACGACUAUUGUUUUGGAGCGGCUAUACAAUAUCAUUUUCCUGUAUAUUAAGGUGAUUGAAGUACAGAAGGAAUUGUUACCUUUUUAAUUAUCCCUAAUUAAGUCAUCUUACCUUUUAAAGCAUAUUUAAAUAUAUAUUAUAAACAUAGAAAUUGUUUGCAUAUAGACGUUCAUCGUAAUUUAUGUAAAUAAAAAUUAUAUAGUUAGUUAUUGUGUACUUUGGUUAUUAAAGUUUGAAUGGAUAAUGAAAAUAAUUUUUACUUGAUUAGGAACUGUGCGAAGGGUGAUAAUGUUUACCCAAUCAUUUUAGCUGGUCGGUUUUGGGAAAUAAAUCAACACUUUUUUAGAAUUCUUGUAACUUUCAAUCAAUCACAAAUAAGAAUUUUAGUUUAUUGUACAAGCAUAUUAGUACGACGUACAACGUAAUCACAUUUUAUCCAAAAAAAAAAAACGCACAUUUUUUUCAAGAUAUCUGAAUACGACUUUAAAUAUUAAGAUAUGCUCUAUAAAUAAAUAUUGUCGUCAAUUCUGGAAAUUCUUGUGGAGUUGCCUUAAUUGAGAAAAGCGCUCGUACAGAGAAUUUUUGUUACCAUGCCAAGACCAAGAGUUUAAGUUUUUCAACUUAAGAUUUUUUUUUUUUCGAUAACAUUCACUAAAGUAAUUGAUCACUUUUUCAACCAACGAUAUAUUCGGCAAAAAUCACUAAACUAAUUUUUGUCAUUCAAAAUCACUAAUCUUGUAAUGGAUAGUUAAAAAAAUAAAUUUGUUCAGGAAGAUUCUGUUCAAUUGUGAUUAGCAAAGCCUUACCUGUUUAUAAUUAGUGAUUUAGAGAUGUAUGAGCUGUUCUAGCUAAAAACUAAAUGGGCCUAUAUAUCUAAGGUAGGGGGUAUGCUGCUUCUUUUCCUUUGAAGAAUUAACACAAAUGCCCACCCAAUCACUUAAAAGGGAGUUUUUCCUAUAUAUACUAUGAUAAGAACUUAUUAAUUUAUUUUCUUUAGAUUUUGUAGUUUUUAAAAAGUAUCUAGGUUUUUCUUACAAAUUGUAUACAUUUCUCCCUUAAAAAUCUUUCAUCCCAUUAUUAAUGCCUUUAAUUAAGGGAUUCAAUUUUGGUGUUAGCUAAAUUAUUGUUAUUUUGCUUCGCAAUAGUUAAACCUUUCAACUAGGAUACUAGUUACCACUUGUUUCCUUCUAGUUUGAUUUGUAUACGUUGUGCACUAGCGAGUCUUCUCUAGAUUGUUGUAGGUGUAGUGGUUGCAUUCUGGGAUGAUAGAAUAAGGGCAUGUCCUCGGAUGGGGCAGAGUGUGGGGCNNNNNNNNNNNNNNNNNNNNNNNNNNNNNNNNNNNNNNNNNNNNNNNNNNNNNNNNNNNNNNNNNNNNNNNNNNNNNNNNNNNNNNNNNNNNNNNNNNNNNNNNNNNNNNNNNNNNNNNNNNNNNNNNNNNNNNNNNNNNNNNNNNNNNNNNNNNNNNNNNNNNNNNNNNNNNNNNNNNNNNNNNNNNNGGAAUAUCUACGGGCCACAAUGGUGGCCACAAAGGAGAUUGGUGGUGGAAUGCAGUUUUCCAAGGUAAAGUGGAAGCAAAGAAGGCGGCUUAACUGCGGUUAGUAGGGAGCGCUAACGAGGAGGAGAAGAGAGAGAACGGUCAAAGGUAUAAGGUAGCUAGGAAGGAGGCGAAGAUGGCAGUGAUGGAGGCUAAGAUGACAGCUUUUGCUCGUCUGUAUGAGGAACUAAGGAACAAAGGUGGGGAGAAGAAGUUAUUCCGACUCGCUAAGGCGAAAGAGAGAGGACAACUCGGGAUCUAGACCAAGUGAGGUGCAUAAAAGAUGAUGACGACAAAGUUUUGAUGGGAGAUGACCAGAUUAAGAGGCGGUGGCAGACCUAUUUUCAUAAACUUCUAAGUGAAGAAGGGGAUCAGGAUAUUAUACUUGGGGAAUCGAGGAAUGCCGACAGUCACCAUGAAUUAAGUAAUUGUAGGGACAUUGAGAUCGAUGAAGUCAUGGAGGCAAUGCGUAAGAUGAGAAGGGGCAUAGCUAUCGGGCCAAACGAAAUUCCAGUUGAGCUGUGGAAGUGUGUGGGUAGAGCAGGCUUGGAAUGGCUUACUGCAUUGUUUAGUGUUAUAUUCAAGACUAAUAGGAUGCCUGAAGAGUGGAGGUGGAGUACAAUGGUCUCGUUGUAUAGGAACAAAGGUGAUGUCCAGAGCUGUAACAACUAUAGGGGCAUCAAAUUACUAAGUCAUACUAUGAAAGUUUGGGAGAGAGUGGUAGAAAUGAGAGUGCGAAGGACGGUGUCUAUUUUAGACAACCAGUUCGGGUUCAUGCCGGGACGAUCUACCACGGAAGCUAUCCACAUUAUUAGGAGGAUGUUGGAACAGUACAGGGAUAGGAAGAAGGAUCUCCACAUGGUGUUUAUUGAUCUGGAAAAAGCGAACGAUAGGGUUCCUAGGGAGGUCUUAUGGAGCUGCUUAGAGGAUAAAAGGGUCCCGAUUGACUAUAUUAGGGUGAUUAAAGACAUGUAUGAUGGAUCUAAGACUCGGGUUAGGAUAGUAAGAGGCGACUCUGAACACUUUCCAGUUAUUACGGGGUUGCACCAAGGGUCUGCGCUCAGCCCAUUCCUAUUUGCCCUGGUGAUAGAUGCACUGACUCAUAUUCAAGGGGAGGUGCCAUGGUGCAUGAUAUUUGCUGAUGACAUUAUUCUAAUUGACGAGACACGAGGCGGCGUCAACGAGAGGCUAGAGAUUUGGAGACAUGCUCUUGAGUCUAAAGGUUUCAAGUUGAGCAGGACGAAGACAGAAUACCUCGAGUGCAAAUUUGGAGUUGAGCCGACGGAAGCGGGAGUUGAAGUGAGGCUUGACUCUCAAGUCAUUCCCAAGAGGUGUAUUUUCAAGUACCUUAGAUCGGUUAUUCAGGGGAUCGGGGAGAUUGACGAGGAUGUCACACACCGUAUAGGGGUGGGGUGGAUGAAGUGGCGGUUAGCGUCGGGAGUCUUGUGUGACAAGAAAGUGCCACCGUUACUAAAAGGUAAGUUUCAGCAGUGGUUAGGCCUGCCAUGUUAUAUGGAACUGAAUGUUGGCCGGUAAAUAACUCACACAUCCAGAAGGUGAAAGUAGCAGAGAUGAGGAUGUUGAGGUGGAUGUGCGGGCAUACAAGGAUGGAUAGGAUUAGGAAUGAAGAUAUUCGAGAGAAGGUGGGGGUGGCCCCCAUGGAGGACAAAAUGUGGGAAGUAAGACUCAGAUGGUUCGGGCACAUUCAGAUGAGGAGCACUGAUGCACCGGUGAGGAGGUGUGAGCGACUGGCUGUAGUGGGCAUGCGGAGAGGUAGAUGACGACCUAAGAAGUAUUGGGGAGAGGUGAUCAGACAUGACAUGGCGCGACUUAGGAUUACUGAGGACAUGGCCUUUGACAGGGAAUUAUGGAGGUCGUGCAUUAAGGUUGUAGGUUAGGGGAGAGUUAUGAAUAUUUCUACAGCACAAUAGAGUGAAACUAGCCAGUUAGGAGUUAGACUAAGAAUGUCAUUGGUCGUCUAUUGAUGCUGGGCUUUACCUGCUAGUUUUACUAUACCAGUCAUCUAUUUCGUAUUUCGUAUUCUGUAUUUCAUAUCUCUUAUUAUGCUGUUAUUUUAUUAUGCAUUUUUAUGGUACUAAUAUAUCGGCUCCUGUUGCUUUUUUUGAGCCGAGGGUCUCCUGGAAACAGCCUCUCUACCCUUCGGGGUAGGGGUAAGGUCUGCGUACAUACUACCCUCCCCAGACCCCACUUGUGGGAUUUAUACUGGGUUGUUGUUGUUGUUGUUGUUGUUGUUGUUGUUGUUGUUGUUGUUGUUGUAAUUAAGGGAUUCAAUUAUAUCCUUUCCUUUUUUUCACAUUUCUCCUCAUUUCAUGCUUCCUAAUUCUUUCAAUAUACAUAUCUCCUCUUAUCUCUCUCUUCAAUUGUCACGAUCCCAAAUACCCGGUCGUGAUGGCGCCUACCACAUUAAUAGGCAAGCCAACCCAAAUCAUUAACCACAAUAAGUUCCUUUUAUAAAACCAUUUUCUAACACAGGUUUAGAUACCAAAUUUUCAUAAUAAGUGUUUAAAACACAAUUACAUACGCGGAAUGUCAAAUAAACAUGAAAACUACACAGCCCUGAAUAUCUGGUGUCACGAGUCUAGAGCCCUUACGACAUAACUGACUGUCUGAUACAACAUAAGUCUAGAAAAUAUGGAAAAGAACAAGAUAAGAAGGAGAAAACAGGGUUGCGGAUGCCAUGCAACUACCUUGAAAUCUCCGGCAACCUCUGGAUCAGUUGAGGACCCUCACUCUGCCACUCGGGCACCUGGAGCUACACACAAGGUGCAGGGAGUAAUGUGAGUACGCCAACUCAGUAAGUAACUAAAGUAAAUAAGGUCUGAAAGCAGUGACGAGCAGUUAAAAUCAUAUAACUGAAGAAACAACAGGAUAACAGGUCAAUUUCACAGUUUAAAACAAGUUUCGUCGUAAAAUCAUCAAAUUUCAGUUUAAACACUUGAAAUCAUAUACAUAGAAAUUUUUCCAAUAGAGGCUUAAUUUAAAAAAAAAGUGAAAUCAGUAAAAAUAUCAUAACUGGGCCCCUCCAGCAAGGUAUCACUCAGAAUAUAGCCUCUCGGGCAGUGUGAUGACCUUGUUUUUAAAUUGAAUUCUGCGUUCUGAGGCCUUAAAAACCUCUUUUAGCAUUACCUCAAUUUGUAUGCGCAGUCCGGACACGUAGCCGAAAAGCUUAUAUGUCAAAAUCUGUGAAAAAUGAUAAAUUUUAACUAUAAAAUAAAUUAAUUUGACUUCGGUCAAUGUUUUAGGUAAACGGACCCGGACCCGUGAUUUUAUGGUCCCUGAGGGUCCGUAGAAAAAUAUGGGACUUGGGUGUAUGCUUGGAAUCGAAUUCCGAGGUCCCAAGUCCGAGAAAAGAAUUUUUAAAGAAAAUUAUUUUAUGAAAUUAUUUAAAGGAUUUAAAAAUGAAUUUUGAUUAGAACAUAUUGUUAUCGGGCCCGUAUUUUGGUUUCGAUGUCCGGUACAGGUCUUAUAUGUGAUUUAAGAUAAUUUUGUGAAGUUUCGUAAGAAAGGUAAUCUGUCUGACGUGAUUCGGACCUUAAAUGCAAAAUUUGAUGUUUUAAGAAGUUUUGAAAUAUUUCAUUGAUUUUGAGGUUUAAUUCGUUGUUUAAGGGGUUAAUUUGGCGAUUUGAUCGCACGGAUAAGUUUAUAUGAUAUUUUUGAGUAAGUACAUAUGUUUGGUUUGGAGCCCCGAGGGCUCGGGUGUGUUUCGGAUGUGUUUCGAAAGGUUUUUGAACUCAUAAAAGUUGCAGGUUUUUUUGAUGUUCAAUGCCCAGGGAUUUUUCUUUUCGCGUUCGCGUGGGCACACUCGCGAACGCGUAAGGCAAAUCUCCCAGGUGCCAAAUUUCUUCUUCGCGAACGCGAAGCUGGUGACGUGAACGCGAGGCUAAGGGGGGAUACCCUUCGCGAACACGACCCAGCAUACGCGAACGCGAUGGCUUAUGAGCCUGGGCAGAGGGUAUUAUACCUACGCGAACGCGAACGCGAAGACUCGAGGAGUUAGUUCUUCGCGAACGCGAGCCCAUUUCCGUGAACGCGAAGGUCUCUUAGGCCUAGCUCAUCGCGAACGCAUAGGGCAAAUUUGUCCAGUUAUUCUAAGUUCCUAAAACAUAAUGUAUUACGGGAAUUCCACCAUUUUUCAUAAAUUUCAUCUUCUCCACACCUCUUGGGCAAUUUAUGAAGAGGAACAUCACCAUAGCUUCAUAGAUAUGUAAUCCUAAGCUCGUUUUCUUCCAUUUUUAUCAACACCCACUAGAUUUCUAAGCCUAAAACAUGAGAUUAAGGGUAGAAAAUUAGGGAUUUGGGUAGAGUUAGGGCUUUUUGAUUAUUUGGGAAUUUGACCUGGUUUUGGGGUCGGAUUUCAAAACAAAAUAUAUAUUCGGGCUCGUGGGUGAAUGGGUGAUCGGAUUUUGGUCCGAACCUAGUAUUUUGACCAAGCGGGCCCGGGUCAAUUUUUGACUUUUUGGAAAAAAUAAUGGGAAAGCUAUAAUUAAACAUUGGAAUUGGAUUAUUUAGUGUUUAUUGAUGUUAUUAAGUCGAUUAUGUCUAGAUACAAUUGAUUUGGAGUCAAAAUCAAAAGGAAAGGCGGUAUUUGAAGCUUGAGUUGGCCGUGAAAGUUCGAGGUAAGUGUUCGGUCUAACCUUAGCUUGAGGGACUAGGAGUUGUGUCCUAUUUGCUAUUUGCUUCUUGUUGAGUAUGACAUAUAUGCAUGAUGACAAUUAUCUAUACGUUGGUGUCGAGCAUGACCGUGAGUCUUAAAUUGCAAUUUAUUUUGUGUUCUUAAAUAGUACUACGGAUGCUUUAAUUGAUGAUUCUCGAUAUUGAGCAAGGAUUAAGUUUGUUUUCGUGGAACUUACUUAUGAUUGAGUAUUGGUGUUAGCUGAGAUGAGUAGAAGUUGGGUUAAGAUUGGUUAUAGGUGUUUCUCCCUUGCCGGGACGUAUUUACUUUUAUUGUCGAAUCCCUUGCCGGGAUAGUGUAGCUUAUUAUUGAUCCCUUACCGAGACUCUUGGUAUGGUUGUUGCUAAAGGUAUAUAAAUGUUAUGUUGGAUCGAGUUGCACGCCGCAAUAUUACUAUAUAUGGAACGGGUUGCACGCCGCAAAAUUGUUAUGUUGGAUCGGGUUGCACGCCGCAACAAUACUAUAUAUGGAACGGGUUGCACCCCGCAACAAUGUUAUGUUGGAUUGGGUUGCACGCCGCAACGAUGUUAUUUUGGAUCGGGUUGCACGUCGCAACAAUGAUAUAAAUGGAUCGGGUUGCACGCCGCAACAGUGUUAAAUGAUAGGGAUCGGGUUGUGUGCCGCAAUAGAGUUAUUAUGGUUUUGUUGUAAAUCUUAAAUUGUUCUCUCAUAUUUCUCUUAAGUUUCUGAUGGAUUCGAUAUUUUCCCCGUAGCAUGUACCCCUCCUAUGUUAAUUGUUUAUUCAGUUCUAUUUUCCGUUGUAUAUUAUAUAACUGCACAGGUUUAUCCGGAGUCUGGUCCUAGCCUCGUCACUACCUCGCAGGGGUUAGGCCAGACACUUAUCAGCACAUGGGGUUGGUUAUGCUGAUGCUACACUCUGCACUAUGUGCAGAUUCCGGAGCAGAUUUUGGACAGUAGCACUUGGGGAGCCUGCCUUCAGUCCAGCCAGAGAUCCCGAGGUAGUCCUGCAGGCGUCCGCGCGCCCGGCGUUCUCUUCUACUUUAUUAUGUAUUUUGUUUUCAUUAGAUUUCGAGACAGAUUGUAUUUCUUUUAGACAUUUGUUGUAAUAAUCUUAGUCCGUCCGUGAUAUUUUGAUAUCGAAUUCCGGGUAGAGAUUGUGUGUUGUCACUAUCGUACUGGUCUUGGUUAUUAUAUUAGAUUAAGUCUUCCGCUUGAUCUUGAUUUCAUUUAUCGUUAAUAUCUAAAUGUUGGAUAUCUGUUAAUUCAGAUUGUUAAAAAAGGUUAAAAUGAAAGAGUUAGAAAUUUUCUAUGUUUAGUGUCUUGCCUAGCUUCUACGAGCAGGCGCGCAGCCCGAUCCAAUAUAUAUAUAUANNNNNNNNNNNNNNNNNNNNNNNNNAAUAUAUACAUAUAAUAUCUUCACUAUUAGGUUCUUAACCUCUCUCAGUCAUUAACCUCACAGCCUCUCAAGCACAAUAAUAGAAAUUAAGGAACUCAACCCAAAAAGACCUCAUAAUUAGAAGUGGAGUGAUAAAACCAGUUUUAAACAUUUAAACAGGUAAAAUAUGACUGAGGAUAUGCUUUCGACAAGUAGAGUGAGGAAAAACAGUAAAAAUGCCCCUAAGGGUCUCAACAGGUCGGCACAAAGCCCCAGACAUGGCAUACAUCCCAUAAUAUAGUAUAAAUAGCUAAAGUGCGGAAUAUCAUAAGGUUCCAAAUCAAACACGCGGCUUAAUAGUCGCUACGGGAUGGACCAAGUCACAAUCUCUACGGGUGCACGCCCACACGCUCGUCACCUAGCAUGUGUGUCACCGUAUUUAUCAAAACAAGUAAAAUACCGGGGUUUGUACCCUCAGUUCCAGAUUUAUAAUGGUACCUCAAACCGGUGAAAAUAAUACUCUGUGACGCCUUUUCCCCUUGAAUCAGCCUCCACUCGAGUCGAGUCUAUCCAAAAUCAGUAUCACGACAUCAAAAUAUGCUAAGAGAACGAAGCCCAAGCGAAAAUAAUCAAAUAAUACCAAAAAUUCCGAAAUUACCAAAACCCGACCUCUGGGCCCAUGUCUCAGAAUUCGAUAAUUUUUACAUUAAUAUAUUCCUCAUCUCUUCACGAGUUCAUAUAUAUCUAAAGUUCUGAAAUCCGACCUCAAAUGAUCCUUCAAAUCCUCAAGCAAAUGUCUAAGUUUCAAAGCCCUAGUUUCCCCAAUUUUUGCCCUUAAAUUCCAUUAAUCAUCGCACUAAUCUAUGAAAUAAUAGCAUAGGAACGAGUUUUAGGUCCAAAUUCCUUACCUCAACGAAGUUCCUUAGAAAUUCCUCUUUCAAAUCGCCCAAAAAGCUCCAAUGCCAAGAUAGAAAUGGUGAAAAUAGCUCAAAAUCGCGAAGGCCACAAUUUAUACCUUCUGCCCAGGUAUUUUCGCAUCUGCGGCCCUAUUCACCGCUUCUGCGGUACCACAUAUGCGGCCAAUUAACCGCUUCUGCAGUUCUUCACUUAACGGCCAAAACCGCUCCUGUGAUCAACAUUUCGCACUUGCGCCUUCGCAGGUGCGGUCCAUCAACCGCAUAUGUGGUCCCUGCCUUCCCAUGCAUUUCCGCUUCUGCGACCUUCCUUAUCGCACCUGCGGCAUCGCACCUACGGUCCCCAAUCCGCAGGUGCAAAAAUACCAGAAGCAACAAAUUUAGCAGCUGCAACAAAGUUUCAAACUCCCCGUCAACCAGCCGAAAUAACCUCGAGGCCCGCGGGAUCUCAACCAAAGGCACCAAAAUAUCCCAAAACCUUAUUCAAACUUGUACCAAUCUUCAAAACACCUCAAAUAACAUCAAAUCGACCAAAACACAUCGGAUUCAAGACUAAUUUUCCAAAAACUUCUAAAUUCUGCUUUUGAUCAAAAACCCGACCAAACCACGUUCGAAUGACCUAAAAUUUUGCACACGUCCCAAAUGAUACCACAAAACUAUUGCAACUCUUGGAAUUCCAUUCCGACUCCUACAUCAAAAUCUCACAUAUCAACCGGAAAUUGCCAAAAAUUCGAUUUCGCCAAUUUAAGCCUAAAUUACUCCGAACCUCCAAAACUCAUUCCGAUCACGCUCCUAAGUCCCAAAUCACCUCCCGAAGCUGACCAAACAAUUGAAACUCACAUCCGAGCCCUCUAACACACAAGCCAACAUCCGAUUGACUUUUCCAACUUAAACUCACUCUAAAGAGACUAAGUGCCUCAAACCUUACCAAAUCCUUUUCGAAAUCGAUCCGUCAACCUCGAUAUCACAUAACACGGAUAAACAAAGCAUAAAGAAGUAGAAAUAGGAAAAACGGAGCUGUAACUCAUGAGACGACUGGCCGGGUCGUCACAUCCUUCCCAACUUAAACAAACGUUCGUCCUCGAACGAGUCAAGAAACAUACCUGAAGCCUCAAACAGGUGAGGAUAUCUGCUCCACAUCUCCCGCUCGGUCUCCUAGGUAGCCUCCUCCACUGGCCGACCUCACCACUGCACUUUCACCGAAGCUAUAUCCUUUGACCUCAACUUUCGAACCUGACGACCCAAAAUAGCUAUUGGAUCCACAUCAUAAGUCAAAUCAUCAUCCAACUGAACUGUGCUGAAAUCCAAAACAUGAGACGGAUCCCCAAUAUACUUCCGGAGCAUAGAAACAUAAAAUACCGGAUGCACACUCGAUAAGCUGGGUGGCAGAGCAAGCUCAUAAGCCACCUCCCCAAUCCUCCAAAGCACCUAAAAAGGCCCUAUGAACCGAGGACUCAAUUUCCCUUUCUUCCCAAAUCUCAUAACACCUUUCAUGGGUGAAACCUUCAACAGAACCUUCUCGCCAACCAUGUUGGACACAUCCCGGACCUUCCUAUCAGCAUAGCUCUUCUGUUUUGACUGCGCUGUGUGAAGCCUCUCCUGAAUCACCUUUACCUUUUCUAAAGCAUCUUGCACAAGGUCUGUCCCCAAUAGCCUAGCCUCAUCGGGCUCGAACCAAUUAACUGGAGAUCUACACCGCCUCCCAUACAAAGCCUCAUAUGGAGCCAUCUGAAUACUCGACUGGUAGUUGUUGUUAUAAGCAAAAUCUGCAAGCGGUAGAAACUGAUCUCAUGACCCUCCGAAAUCAAUGACACAAGCACGCAACAUGUCCUCCAAUAUCUGAAUAGUGCGCUAGGAUUGUCCGUCCGUCUGAGGGUGAAAGCUAUGCUCAACUCAACCUGAGUACCUAACUCUCGCUGCACAGACCUCCAAAACUGCGAAGUAAACUAAGUGCCCCUAUCAGAUAUGAUAGAAACUGGGACACCAUGCAAACGAACAAUCUCCCCGAUAUAGAUCUCUGCCAACCGCCCUGAAGAAUAGAAUUUCACUUUUCCUUAUAUUACAACACAACAAUUUUAGUCUAAGUUACCUAAUUUUUAAGCCAGAUUAAUAGGAACUACCAAGAUCAUGUUUUAGCACAACAUUUCUAAUAUUUAUAUAUGGUGUCUGUUGCAUAACAUAUCCAUUCAGAAUAAGGAGUUUUACACCAAUUACCAACCUUUCUUGCAUCAGAUUGUCAUUGGUAGUCAGAUUAAGGAGAGGCGGAUCAUGAUAUUUUGACUGACUAAACAUCAACAUCAUUGGAUUGAGCUAAAAGAAAGAGGAUAUCCCAAAGGCAUCGAAUUGCAUUAAUUGGUUGAUUAGUUGUUGUUUUCUGAUUAGAGAAGCUUGGAAGAAUAAAAGCAACCAACAUAUAUGGUUUUGGAGAAGUUGACAGAUAGUUGCAUGGUGUGUGAUUCUUGUUAGCUUAUAGUUUUUGCUAUUAUGUGAUUAAUAACUGUUGUCUUUAGAUUUAGCGCAGGUUCCAUUCAUUGCAGCAAUCAUAUAAGACUAAAUCAUCUAAUUUGUGACUUAAUACUAAUAGUCUAAUAUAGUAGUGAAAUUUGGAACUAUACUAUUUCUGUUAAGAUACAAUUUCAAAAUAACUUAUAUUCGAACGAUGAUGCAAUUUAUAUUUGUAAAAAGAAAAGUAAUUAUAUAAUUAUGUCCCUUCGUCAUUUUAAGAGUGUUUCUACCUUUUGUGGUUCUUUAAUUUAUGAACGCUAUUUCCAAAAUAGACACUUAGGACAAAUUGUACCUUAUAGCUGUUUGGGAUUGAAAAAAAGGUGAUACAUUUUAAAAUGUAAAAUCAAAUCUUGAAAGUACUUAUAAUUUUUUCAAGUUUUCAAGAGAAGAUGGUCAACUUGUUUGAAAUCUGCAUCAAUUUCACAAAAGAAAGUGCUAUUGGCUUUUAAAGGAAGCAAAGAACAAGAAAUUUAACGUACACUCACAUGUUAAUCUUUUCCUUUGUAAUUCAAAUACAAAGUCUUUUAUUAAUGGACAAAGUUAAGAAAGUUGAUUGUAUGGUGCUGAAGGAGGUUAUAAUUACAGUCUAUAGUAUGAGGAUUUGACGUUGAUUUCCCCCCAAUAUUUGAUCAAAGAAGGAAUCAUGAGGACCACGAAAAUGCUCCAAAAAUAAAAUCAGCGACCCAAACAUCUACUUCUCCUUUUCUUUUCUGGAAGAACUGAUUGGUUCUUCCAUGAAUUGAGAUAACGCAUAUAGGCGCGAAAAAUAGAUUAAAGGUAUGACUUUGUAAAAUUUAAUAAGAAAUAUGAGGUUCAAAGUUGAGCUUAGAAUUCAUACGUCACACUCAACCAAUAUGGACAAAAGCAACAUACAAUGGGAUAUCGUCUAUGGAAAAGAGCCAAAACUACCCUCAAGCUGCAGGCUUAGGAUCAAAUAUAUCUUCUUUUUACCUAUUAGGCUAAAAUUGCCCUGACGUUUUCUUUUCCUCUCAAAUCUACUCUUGUGACUAACGGCCAUUUAUCUAAUAAUAAUGUGGCAGUUUGUCAUUUGUCGAAUUCAAAACACUUGUUCACAUAAAAAAAAACUACCCAUAUGUAUCCAUUUUCGGACUAACCCGCCCCGGACCAAAAAUCUAACUGAAAAAAGGAACCCUCACCCCCCACCCCCCACCCCCACCCCCACACACAUACUCUUUUUUUUUCUAAGUGCCUCUUCUUCAAAUUAGGGUUCUUCAAAGAAAGAAGAGUCGUGUUAAUGGCUGCAAUGAAACUUUUAGUUUUUUUUUUCACAAGAAAAUUAGUUCAAAUUAGUAGAGAACUAUAAAUUUAGACAUACAUAAACAUUCACAAAUCAUUAAAUACUCUCUAAAAUUUUAGAUCUGAAAAUUUUGACAAGCUUCGAAGCUUAGCUUCGAUGGCGGUCAACUUUGUUCCUUGCAUUUUCGAGCAACCAAGACAAUAGAUAAACUUGACUUUUGCCUCCAAUAAUAACAAUCAGCAGGUUCCAAACAACAAUUUUGACUUUCAAUACCAAACUCUCCCAACAAUUUUGACAAUUUUAAGCCACGAAUUUGACCCAUCAAAGAUCCCAAUCAGUAGAAUAAUUAAGAAAAGUUUUAAGCACUAAAACUCUUCAAUUCAGCAACGGAUGAUCAAUUCUCAAUUCUACCAAUCAACCCAGUUUUUUUUAAAUACUUAUACCAAUGAAAUUCGAAAACUCAGAAACAAAGAAUGAACGCAAGUGCAUUUGAUCAAACAAUGAUACUAUUUUUUAAUUUUCUGAUUUCUUUUUUUUGUUUUUGAUUUGGUAAUAAAAAAUUAGGCACUUCAGAUCGGGUUAGUACAAUUUAGGGAGGGUUAGUCCAAAAAUGAGUACAUAUAUGUCGGUCUUUUUAAUGGGAACAUGUAUUUUAAAUUCUUCCGAUGAGAAGCUAUCAUGUCAUUAUUAAAUAAAAUAUAUUAUUUGGUGGAAAUGACUGUUACUCAUAAGGGUAAACUUGAGCCGAAAUAAAAACGUUAGGGGCAAUUUUACCUCAACAGGUGAACAAAUGAUAUAUUUAGCCCUAAGUCUAUAGUUCAUGGGCAAUUUUGACUUUUUUCUGUAUUGUCUAUAAAGAAGUGUUAAGUGAGAUGUGCUUCAUUUUAAUUUUUUACCUCAAAAAAUUGAAAAAUUUAAAAAUAAAAAUUGCAUAUAUCUAAUUAAACUUUGAUUGUUCAUCUUCAUAUGCUAGGAGAAUAUUCAAUCAUUUUGACCUCGACAAAUAAUUUAUUAUAUUAUAAUUCACGUGCAACGCACGUGCCGAGAGACUAAUAUAUAUAUAUAGUAAGAAAAAAUUCAAUUAAUAAAAUCCACAGCCGCAAGUAUAAUAUUUAAAAAAAUCAAUUCUCUAGUUAAGAAGCAAUAGAUGAGAUGAACAACAUUAAUUUUAAACUAGGAUAGUCAUAUUACAAAUUAAACCGAAAUAGUUCGUGCCUCAGCGAAUAGAACAUGUCAAAAUAAAAUAGGAAUCUAAUAUAUUAUAUAUGUAUGUGUACAUUGUAAAUCGCAAUAUGUGAUUGACUCGAUAAGUAUAUGGAUGAGGAAUCUAAUGUUGAGGAAUACGAAAGUAGAGUGGAAUAGGAUUAUGAGGUUCAGGAGUAGAGUCCCAAACAGAGAAUGCGCUGCUGGAGUUCAUCCAUUUCUCAGUUAUUUCAGGGUAAUGUCGAUCUAACACAUCUUUCAAGCUUUCUGUUGUAUU